rnacentral:rRNA from 1 species
UACGUAGGGUGCAAGCGUUGUCCGGAAUUAUUGGGCGUAAAGAGCUCGUAGGCGGUUUGUCGCGUCUGCUGUGAAAACUCGGGGCUUAACCCCGGGCCUGCAGUUGAUACGGGCAGGCUAGAGUUCGGUAGGGGAGACUGGAAUUCCUGGUGUAGCGGUGAAAUGCGCAGAUAUCAGGAGGAACACCGGUGGCGAAGGCGGGUCUCUGGGCCGAUACUGACGCUGAGGAGCGAAAGCGUGGGGAGCGAACAGG